rnacentral:rRNA from 1 species
GACGAACGCUGGCGGCGUGCCUAAUACAUGCAAGUAGAACGCUGAAGGAGGAGCUUGCUUCUCUGGAUGAGUUGCGAACGGGUGAGUAACGCGUAGGUAACCUGCCUGGUAGCGGGGGAUAACUAUUGGAAACGAUAGCUAAUACCGCAUAAGAGUAGAUGUUGCAUGACAUUUGCUUAAAAGGUGCAAUUGCAUCACUACCAGAUGGACCUGCGUUGUAUUAGCUAGUUGGUGGGGUAACGGCUCACCAAGGCGACGAUACAUAGCCGACCUGAGAGGGUGAUCGGCCACACUGGGACUGAGACACGGCCCAGACUCCUACGGGAGGCAGCAGUAGGGAAUCUUCGGCAAUGGACGGAAGUCUGACCGAGCAACGCCGCGUGAGUGAAGAAGGUUUUCGGAUCGUAAAGCUCUGUUGUAAGAGAAGAACGAGUGUGAGAGUGGAAAGUUCACACUGUGACGGUAUCUUUCCAGAAAGGGACGGCUAACUACGUG